rnacentral:lncRNA from 1 species
UGACUUUUGGCCCGAGCUUUUUUACUAAGUCAUUUCCACAUGUUUUGGACCCAUAUCCAGUCCAAACCUUACGGGCCGAGCUUUUUUGCCAACCCUACGGCGUUAAUUGAGUUUGCUAUCCGCAUUCGUCUGAGUCAUUGGCUGGAAGUAAAGUGAACUGGGAAAAAAAUCAAUGGUAUCAAGGCAGGAGCUUGUGAGAUGCAGAUUGAUUUAGAGACAAUAAAUAAUACACAAAUAAAGCGAAAGGUUUCAUGUAAUGCUCUUUGCCUUUUUGGAACUUUGAUGAAUACUUGGAAACUUAAUUUUGUUGGAAUUUUUUUUUAGAGCUGAAAAUAGGGGAGAGUAAAAAAAGAAAUACCUUUUGACCCAAAUUAAUUAAGGUUCCACAUAAUGUUUUUGGAAUAUUUAAGAAACUUUAUUUUGUUGGAAGAGUAAAAGAAAACUACUUUUUUACUUAAAUUUCUGUGAACAACGUAGACAAAGAAUUCCAGUGGUAGCUCUAAUUAAGGUUAAUUUUGUUAUCAAAAGAGAGGUUAAGAGGAAUUUUGAAGUAUUUUUAAGCAUUUGAGAUGGGGUAAAUAUAGAAAAGAGAAAAAGAAGGAUUAUGGAGGGGCGCUUUGCGCUAAUAAGGCCAACUCAUUAAACUUGUGGAAUAAAGCCCAUGAGCGGGAUACGACCACAUUAGACCAGACAUGGCUAUUUACAAAAGCCCAAUGUCUUUUUGUAUAAAAUAAAUAAAUUGAGGCUGUGUCCUUUACACGCAAUUGGGAUUUUUUCUUUUUUUGGUUAUUCACCGGCAUAUUUUUGGAAUAAAAAUGAGUAUUAACAGUAAUUUUUAAAAUAUUAAUAUAAUCAAAGUUCAAUACAACUGAAGCCCAAUAAAAUUUUUAUUUUAUAAUUACAAUUUUUUUCUCACAACAACUACGACUUAUAAUCCCGUAGUACCUAAAUACCAAACGGAGGCUACUUAUAAAUAGAUAGUCCUUAACUAAAUUGAUGUAAUAAGACAUCCAAUGACAUCAAAAUCACACCACACAUUUGAAACUUUUCCUCGCAAUGAAUAUAUACACACUUCUUCACUAAAAUUUAGACAUUAAUACUGCAUGUUUUAGGACAUUUAAUUUUGUAUGUUUUAUGACAUUAAUACCUUAUGUUUUAGGACAUUAUAAAAUUCGCAUGACAAACUUUUCACCUUAGUCCUCGCAAGAUGAUAAUGAAUAAUAAAGGCCACAAAUAGUUGAGACUAAAAAAAUUUACUAAUGUUAAAAUAAAAUUUGUACAUAAAAUAACACAAACCAUACAUACACCAAAGUAAGGCAACGAUAAUGUUAAAUUCUCGAACACUUAAGUAGAUUUACAAUCCUUCUCAAUCAAAAAAAAAAAAAGAUUUACUCUCUCCCUUAUGUAGAGUAGGGCAUUACUAUUUUAAUAUGGCUAUAAAAGAAAUACUAAACCUACAAAGAAAUAAAUUCUUAAAAGAAAUUCUAAAUUAAAUAGAAUUUAAAAGUUAAUUAGAAUUGGUAAAUUUUUUUGUGUGGUUAGGCAGCUAUAAUUUAAAAAUU